rnacentral:rRNA from 1 species
AGCAUGUGAAUGUGAGCAAAUCCCAAAAAUAACGUCUCAGUUCGGAUUGUAGUCUGCAACUCGACUACAUGAAGCUGGAAUCGCUAGUAAUCGCGAAUCAGAAUGUCGCGGUGAAUACGUUCUCGGGUCUUGUACACACCGCCCGUCACACCAUGGGAGUCAGUAACGCCCGAAGCCGGUGACCCAACCAAACGGAGGGAGCCGUCGAAGGUGGGACCGAUAACUGGGGUGAAGUCGUAACAAGGUACC